rnacentral:rRNA from 1 species
AGAGUUUGAUCCUGGCUCAGGAUGAACGCUAGCUACAGGCUUAACACAUGCAAGUCGAGGGGAAACGACAUCGAAAGCUUGCUUUUGAUGGGCGUCGACCGGCGCACGGGUGAGUAACGCGUAUCCAACCUGCCCAUCACUUGGGGAUAACCUUGCGAAAGUAAGACUAAUACCCAAUGACGUCUCUAGAAGACAUCUGAAAGAGAUUAAAAGAUUUAUCGGUGAUGGAUGGGGAUGCGUCUGAUUAGCUUGUUGGCGGGGUAACGGCCACCAAGGCGACGAUCAGUAGGGGUUCUGGAGAGGAAGGUCCCCCANAUUGGAACUGAGACGCGGUCCAAACUCCUACGGGAGGCA